ACACCUCAACUCUUCAUGGUUUUCCAUGAUGAGCUUGGACUUUGGGGGUCUUGCUGGCCUGCGGUCGGCUCCUCUCAAACAAAUCAGCUUGCCAGUGUUUGGUGGGCAUCACAGGUGUGAUAACUAUCUACGCUUGUGGUCUUCCACCAGGUAACCUUCAGCAGUGGAGGUUCGCUGGAGCUCAGAUGUCUCUCCUCAGUGAGGACAGCCCUUUGAAU
rnacentral:misc_RNA from 1 species